GCGCUGCCUCUGGCCAGCUGGAGCACCCACACCUGGCCCUUUCGAGCUACUACCCCACUGUUUUCAAGCUAACCCAGAAGCCUAGAUUCGUGAGAAUAAUCUUUUGAUUUUAAAAGUUGAGAAAUGUAUUUAAAUCUCUCAAAAAUACCAUGCAAGCCAGUGCAAGGCGGUCCUGACAUGGCCUUGGGCUGAGAGACACCUGCAAGCUACCAGCUGGAUGCUCCUGUGGUGGGUGGCAGGGCCUUUCACCAAGAGAGGGGCAGGUUUCUCCCAGGACUCUUUCAGACAUGCACAUCCAUACCUGGGGACUCACCACCCCGUGAAGACACAGAUCUGUUUGGUGGUAGGAGGAUGGCACUCUGCAUGAAGACGUGGAGGCCGAGACAGGAAUGAGGCGAUAGGUGUGAAUUUAUGAGAACUAUAUAAAGUCCAGUUGGCUGGGCCUUGGGGCUGCAUUCUUUCCCAUGCCCAUAGGGUCCUGUGUCCUAAGCUCUGGUCAUUGGACCAUGCGUGUGCAACAUGUGACCUUCCAGGAUGUGUGAGAGAGAGAUAAGACCCUGGUAGACCACCCUCCUGACAGUUCUUCCCUCCCUCCCUUGAUGUUCUCCCACCUCACAUAGCACCUGGCACACGCUGGCUGGCUCCAGGUGCUAGGCCCACUCAGGUGACAUCCUCAAAGCCACGUGGAGAUGCAAGGCCUCUCCCAGUCCAACCCGGAUGACCAGAGCAGCCAUUCCCGGGGCAUCUAGGAACAGGCCACGUCAGCGAGUGUCCCUUGAGGAGUGUGGUCCCAGACUGUAGACGGAACAGCUGAUGGUUACUGAGACUGUGGCAAAACACCAGAGACCCAUCUUAAGGCGGAAUCCCGUGGUGAGAAGAGAGAAGAUGGCAUGAGGUUGCUGUUGAUGUGGAGACAGAAGCAGCACCCGAAACAGCGCCGAGGAAGGGGCAGCUCCGAGGAGGUCUAGAAAAAGAACUUCUUUAAGAUCAUUUUUGCCUGGUGUGCUGGUGCACAACUUUAAUCCCAAAUUCACGGAGGCAGGAGGCCUCCCUGAGUUCGAGGCCAGCCUGGGCUGUAGAGUGGGUUCCCAGCCAUCCAGGGCUACAUAGUGAGACCUUGUCUCAAAAUAAAUAAAAAAUCCUUUUUCUUGUUUAAA